rnacentral:rRNA from 1 species
UACGUAGGUGGCGAGCGUUGUCCGGAAUCAUUGGGCGUAAAGAGCGCGUAGGUGGCUUGUUAGGUCUGAUGUGAAACCCUGGGGCUCAACCCCAGGCCUGCAUCAGAAACCGGCUUGCUAGAGUCUGGGAGAGGAGAGUGGAAUUCCUGGUGUAGCGGUGAAAUGCGUAGAUAUCAGGAGGAACACCGGUAGCGAAGGCGGCUCUCUGGAACAGUACUGACGCUGAGGCGCGAAAGCUAGGGGAGCGAACAGG